rnacentral:tRNA from 1 species
AAAAAGUUAGUUAAUUUAUAACAUAAAUAUGUCAUAUUUAAAUUAUUAGUAAUCUAAUACUUUUUG